AUUGAACGCUGGCGGUAUGCCUUACACAUGCAAGUCGAACGGUAGAGGAGCAAUCCUCGAGAGUGGCGAACGGGUGAGUAAUACAUCGGAACGUGCCCAGUCGUGGGGGAUAACGUAGCGAAAGCUACGCUAAUACCGCAUACGACCUGAGGGUGAAAGCGGGGGACCGUAAGGCCUCGCGCGAUUGGAGCGGCCGAUGGCAGAUUAGGUAGUUGGUGGGGUAAAGGCCCACCAAGCCUGCGAUCUGUAGCUGGUCUGAGAGGACGACCAGCCACACUGGGACUGAGACACGGCCCAGACUCCUACGGGAGGCAGCAGUGGGGAAUUUUGGACAAUGGGCGAAAGCCUGAUCCAGCCAUACCGCGUGCGGGAAGAAGGCCUUCGGGUUGUAAACCGCUUUUGUCAGGGAAGAAAUACUUCGGGCUAAUACCCUGGGGUGAUGACGGUACCUGAAGAAUAAGCACCGGCUAACUACGUGCCAGCAGCCGCGGUAAUACGUAGGGUGCAAGCGUUAAUCGGAAUUACUGGGCGUAAAGCGUGCGCAGGCGGUUCUAUAAGACAGAUGUGAAAUCCCCGGGCUCAACCUGGGAACUGCAUUUGUGACUGUAGAGCUAGAGUACGGUAGAGGAGGAUG
rnacentral:rRNA from 1 species